AUUGAACGCUGGCGGCAGGCCUAACACAUGCAAGUCGAACGAGUGGCGGACGGGUGAGUAAUGUCUGGGAAACUGCCUGAUGGAGGGGGAUAACUACGGGAAACGGUAGCUAAUACCGCAUACCAUAAGAUGAGCCCAGGUGGGAUUAGCUAGUUGGUGAGGUAAAGGCUCACCAAGGCGACGAUCCCUAGCUGGUCUGAGAGGAUGACCAGCAACACUGGGACUGAGACACGGCCCAGACUCCUACGGGAGGCAGCAGUGGGGAAUAGUGCACAAUGGGCGCAAUCCUGAUGCAGCCAUGCAGCGUGUAUGAAGAAGGCCUUCGGGUUGUAAAGUACUUUCAGCGGGGAGGCGUUACCCGCAGAAGAAGCACCGGCUAACUCCGUGCCAGCCGCCGCGGUAAUAC
rnacentral:rRNA from 1 species